rnacentral:rRNA from 1 species
UGGUAAGGUAAUGGCUUACCAAGGCGACGAUGGGUAGCCGGCCUGAGAGGGUGUACGGCCACACUGGGACUGAGACACGGCCCAGACUCCUACGGGAGGCAGCAGUAGGGAAUAUUGCGCAAUGGAGGGAACUCUGACGCAGCGACGCCGCGUGAGCGAUGAAGGUCUUCGGAUCGUAAAGCUCUGUCCUUGGGGAAGAAGGGUGUUUUAUAGUAUCUUGACGGUACCCGAGGAGGAAGCCCCGGCUAACUACGUGCCAGCAGCCGCGGUAAUACGUAGGGGGCAAGCGUUGUCCGGAAUUAUUGGGCGUAAAGGGUGCGUAGGCGGCCUUUUAAGUCAGGUGUGAAAGCCCACGGCUUAACCGUGGGAUUGCAUUUGAAACUGGAAGGCUUGAGUAUCGGAGAGGGUAGUGGAAUUCCCAGUGUAGCGGUGAAAUGCGUAGAUAUUGGGAGGAACACCAGUGGCGAAGGCGACUACCUGGACGAAAACUGACGCUGAUGCACGAAAGCUAGGGGAGCAAACAGGAUUAGAUACCCUGGUAGUCCUAGCUGUAAACGAUGGGUACUAGGUGUAGGAGGUUUCGAUACCUUCUGUGCCGGAGUUAA